AAUCUAUAGAGCGAGCUAGCGAAACUCAUGAUAUUUUGAAUGGGUAAACUGUGAACUUGGAAAAGAUAAAAAGGAUAAUUGAUGUAAUCAAAAUGAGUAUUGCUGAGAAGAUUUUUAGGCAGGGAAGUCCUAUAACCGGAAAACUACUCGCAAAAUCGCUAUUUUUGAGGAGAUGUUUCACGUCAUUUGGUUAUUGCAAGGUCACAGAGUUUCUCACUAAAAGAACAUGGUGCAACCUUCGGCACAAUUUUCUUGUAAAGGAAACACUUCAGAACAGAAAUGGCAUUACAUGGAGUCAAUUUCGAAGAAUCUGCAGUCAGUCAACAAGCCAUGGAAUGCCUACCCAGGAUACAAUUGAUAUGUCUAUGUUUCCAGUGUCAAGAAUUAAAAAUUUUAGCAUUAUUGCUCAUAUUGACCAUGGAAAAAGUACUUUAGCUGACAGACUUCUUGAAAUGACUGGUACAAUUUCAAAAGACAAUGUCAAUAAGCAAGUGCUGGAUAAACUUCAAGUGGAGAGGGAGAGAGGAAUAACAGUUAAAGCUCAGACUGCGUCAUUAAUUUUUGAUUAUGAAGGAGAAACAUACUUGUUAAACCUUGUUGAUACACCAGGACAUGUGGAUUUUAGCUAUGAAGUGUCCAGAUCUUUAGCUGCUUGUCAGGGUGUUAUUUUACUGGUUGACUCAGCUCAGGGUGUCCAGGCACAGACAGUAUCAAAUUUUUUCCUAGCAUUUGAUAAGGAUUUACAUAUAAUCCCAGUACUCAACAAGAUUGAUAUGAAGACUGCUGAUCCUGACAAUGUCUCAAAACAAAUGGAAAAAUUGUUUGAUGUCAAACAGAAUGAGAUUUUAAGAAUCUCUGCAAAAACAGGAGUUGGAGUGGACACUGUUCUGAAAGAAAUUAUUGAAAAAUUACCAUGUCCUCAGGGUGAGGUGUCAGCCCCCCUAAAAGCUCUUCUGUUUGACUCAUGGUAUGAUCAGUACAGAGGAGUGAUCUGCCUUGUUGCUGUUCUUGAUGGAUCACUGAAAAAGGGAGAUGAUGUCAUGUCUGCCUACACACAACAGAAAUAUGAAGUCUUGGAUAUUGGAAUAAUGCACCCAGGGGAGAUCUCUACUGGUGCUCUAUUUGCUGGUCAAGUAGGAUUUGUUGUUUGUGGAAUUAGGAACAGUAAAGAUGCUCAGAUUGGUGAUACAUUUUUCCACCCUCAUGCACCUGUUGAACCACUGCAAGGAUUUAAACCAAUGAACUCCAUGGUGUUUGCCGGUGUGUACCCUGUAGAUCAGUCAGAACAUCUCUACUUAAGAUCUGCAAUUGAAAAGCUCACACUCAAUGAUGCUAGUGUCUCAGUUCACCCAGAUAGUUGUCUGGCUCUGGGUCAAGGAUGGCGUCUGGGUUUUCUCGGCUUGUUACACAUGGAUGUCUUUAAACAGCGGUUGGAGCAGGAAUAUGAUGCAAGUAUCAUCAUUACUGCUCCAAAUGUUCCUUACAAAGCAAUUUUGAAAAAGGAUGAUGUUGAGGUGAUGAUUCUGAACCCUUUGGAGCUCCCAGAGCCCUCUCAAGUGCACUCGUAUUUGGAGCCUUAUGUAAUGGGUACGAUUGUGUUCCCUGAAGAGUGUAUGGGCAAAAUGUUAAGUCUUUGCGAGAGCAGGCGCGGUGAGCAGCAAGAAGUACUUUACAUCGACGAGUCACGUGUCAUGCUGAAAUACUUGCUUCCGCUGAACGAAGUUAUCGUGGACUUCUACGAUGAUCUCAAAUCCAAGUCAUCUGGCUAUGCAAGCUUUGAUUAUGAAGAUGUUGGAUACAGAGAAACAAACGUUGUUCGGAUGGAUAUCCUGAUAAACGGUCAUGCUGUUGACGCCCUAAGCUGUAUAGUUCACAAAGACAAAGCCUUACAAUCAGGACGGUCCAUUUGCGCUAAACUUAAGGACGUCAUACCCAGGCAACUAUUUGAAAUUGUUAUUCAAGCUUCAGUGAGAGGAAAAAUCACAUCAAGAGAAACAAUAAAGCCCUUAAGAAAGGAUGUCACUGCAAAAUGCUAUGGUGGUGAUGUGACAAGGAAAAUGAAACUACUUCGGCAGCAAAAGGAAGGAAAAAAGAAGAUGAAAAGGAUCGGAAAAGUGGACAUACCACACCAUGCCUUUCUGAGUGUUUUAAAAAGAUGACGAUGACCUAUGGACACUUCAUUGGCGUUAUAUAAAUCCGCAUCCCUUGAUUGGCUGAAAAAACCAUCUCCGUGAAUAUAUGAAAUUCAUAUAUGUGAACUGCUGAUUAAGAAAUUAAUAUGGAAGCGAUCCUCGCAGUAAUGAACACUACUUAAACAGUACUGAAACUUAGGCUAGACAAAAAUUCAGGCCGGACAAAAAUUCAGGCCUGUACGGGCUUGUUAGUUCAUGGGUUCAAAUCCCGUACAGGCCUGAUUUAUUUAUUCAUCACUUCGCGGGCGUUAAUUUCACUACUGCUUAAGUAGUGUUCGUUACUGUGAAGAUCGCUCCCAAAUUCAAUACCAUCUCCAUAACGCAUCUAUUCAAGGAUUUUCAGUCGACUAGAUGGAAUUUUAUUGAGUAAU